rnacentral:lncRNA from 1 species
AUACAAUUCUUUGACGUAGAACAUAAAAAAACCUUAUAAUCCUAGAAAAGUCACAUGUAGCGGUUUUUUGAGAGCUUUAGAUAAUAUCAACUGUUCUCGAUUUGUCAAAAGCUUGCUAAACAUCUCACGCGCGUAUGACCUCAUUUAUGAGCAGAUAUAUUGCUGAGAACCCGUGAAAUUAGGUACACAUAAAUUCAUUGACGAAACCUAAUUCUAUGAAAAUCUGUUCACAUGAAACAAAACAUUAUACAGUAAUUUUUUUUACAUUGUACUUUUAUUAUUUAUGACGUCGGUAUCAUAUUAUGUACUUUUCCGUACAGAUUUCCUAUUCAACUUUCUUUGAUGCUUUUAAAUUAUUAAAAUAUGAGGAUCAGGUAUUAUUUCCAAUGAAACAACUAUCCACAAAAGUUCAAAUGAAGCGGAAACUAACUGUACUGCCUUUCCCUUAUGCCACUGGUCAGUUUUAUAUGUAUGUGAACAAAACAAAACAAGAAGAACCUAUUAAGUUCUUGUUCGAAGAUUCGUAAUGCUUCUCAAUUUCAGAAAUUUUAUGUUUUGGGCAAACAUUUAAUUGUUUCUGUUUAUUGAUAUUAAGAAUAAUUAUAACAAAC